UCGAGUUAGGGUCUUUGGGGCCCGACCUCCAACCCUUUGUCUACCUUACCACGUGUUGCUUCGGCGAGCCCGCCCUUUGAAAUAUAGGGGCCGCUGGAGGCUUGAUGCCUCGGGUCCGUGCUCGCCGGUGGCCUAUAUUUAAUUCUUCAUAACCAUGUUGUCUAAGGAGAAGCACUUAAUUAAUCA
rnacentral:misc_RNA from 1 species